AACGAACGCUGGCGGCAUGCCUAACACAUGCAAGUCGAACGAGACCUUCGGGUCUAGUGGCGCACGGGUGCGUAACGCGUGGGAACCUGCCCUUAGGUUCGGAAUAACUCCCCGAAAGGGGUGCUAAUACCGGAUAAUGUCUUCGGACCAAAGAUUUAUCGCCUUUGGAUGGGCCCGCGUUGGAUUAGCUUGUUGGUAGGGUAAAAGCCUACCAAGGCUACGAUCCAUAGCUGGUCUGAGAGGAUGAUCAGCCACACUGGGACUGAGACACGGCCCAGACUCCUACGGGAGGCAGCAGUGGGGAAUAUUGGAAAAUCGGCUGAAGCCUGAACCAGCAAUGCCGCGUGAGUGAUGAAGGCCUUAGGGUAGUAAAGCUCUUUUACCCGGGAUGAUAAUGACAGUACCGGGAGAAUAAGCUCCGGCUAACUCCGUG
rnacentral:rRNA from 1 species